GAUGAAGAACGCAGCGAAAUGCGAUAAGUAGUGUGAAUUGCAGAAUUCAGUGAAUCAUCGAAUCUUUGAACGCACAUUGCGCCCCUUGGUAUUCCGAGGGGCAUGCCUGUUCGAGCGUCAUUAUAACCCCUCAAGCUCGGCUUGGUGUUGGGGCCUGCCGCACGGGCAGCCCUUAAAAUCAGUGGCGGUGCCAUCUGGCUCUAAGCGUAGUAAUUCUUCUCGCUAUAGAGUCCCGGUGGAUGCUUGCCAUUAACCCCCAAUUUCAAUGGUUGACCUCGGAUCAGGUAGGGAUACCCGCUGAACUUAAGCAUAUCAAUAAGCGGAGGA
rnacentral:misc_RNA from 1 species